UAAAAUAUGCCCUUCGGAGCAGUUGCAGGACUCCCACCACCUGCUCUGCAUAUACUCCAGAAAAGCGCUCUCUAAUCUCUGGGUUUGAGUAAAGAACUUUAUUAAAGAAAGGAAUAUGGCCACAGAAUUCCUAGGGUGAGAAGCAGGAGCACAGCAGGUGGCGGCCAAGAAGCCAUGAAAACAUGAGGGAGAGGAGUUGGGAUUCUUUGCAAGACUCUGCGUGAUAAGCAGAAUACAUGUGGCCUACAGCUGUCCCUUAAAGAAGAUGAUGUUUUUCAUCUCCAAGAAUUAAGGGCAGCUUUCCAUCUAAUGAACUUGGAAGACUCUCUUCAUGAGUCAUUUUUGUUAUGAACUAGAUCUCUCCAGCUAUCUUUUGUUUUUCUUUUUUUUCUAAAACCGACUCCAUCCGGACCAGCGUUUCUCAAGAGUUCUUCUAAAGUUUGCAGUAGGAAAUGAGACUUAUUUCUUUUAUGCUUUAUUGAAUGUGGACUUUAUUAACUCUUGGAUGAGAUCUCUCAGUGUUGCAUCAAUCUCAGGAAGACCUGCUGGACUUAGAGAAACUAAGAAGGAAGGGGGGAUAGAAAGGGAGGAAGAGAGACACCUGUAGACCUGCCUCCCCACCCUGCAGUGACUAAGAACUGAAGAAGAGUGCUGCUGAAAGCAUAUUAAAGGCAAGAUCCCGGGCAAAUAUUCAAAGUGUACUUAGAGAGUGGAUUAUUAUGCCAAUGUUAGGUUCUCUUUCCAGUCAGCUCGAAAUGUAUGUGGCUCAAACACAACAGAAAUCGAUUUCUUAUUUGUAUAGGAGUUUGAAAC